rnacentral:lncRNA from 1 species
UUCCGCCCUUAUUAUCCAAAAUCUGAUUCAAGACCUCCAAGUAAAGGAAAGAAUGUGAAAAUAAGUAAAAAGAAAAAAAUGACCAGACAUCUGGAGCUCCUCCUGCCACUGCUGAAUCCAUGACAGUGAAAUUCUUGUUCACUACGGUAAUCACAGAGAACGACUAUGCCAUGCCACUUCCAGAUUGCCUCACUUUCGCUAAAAGCCAGCAGGAUGAAAAUUUCCACUCAAGCAUUGUGAACUGGAGUCCACCUGGUACCACCGUGACCUCUAUCAGAAGUGUCUGAUGCCAAGGUCUAAUGAGGUGCAAAGGAUAUUGGAUAUUGUCGUGCUCAUCUAAAGCACACAGUCUUCAUCUCUCCUUCAUGCCACAGUGAAUUAAGUAGAUAAACAUGUCAUGGGAAAUUAAGAUGGAUGAUAAGCUUGUUGGCACCAUCUUGAAGGCACAAGACAUCAUCACCCUCUCCACAGGUAUUUGGCUAAUGUACUCUGUCCUCACAUUGUCAAGCAGCACCUUGAAGAGAUAUCGCAUACAUUGUUGAAAGCAGAAAGGAAGUCAAAGAUAAUAUGACUCAUAGUUUACAUAUUGCAUACAUAAUGUGGUCUUGAUAUGAACUUGAAAAGACAGUAAAAUAUGCACAAUACUUAACACUUAUUUGCAGACACUAAUUCAGUCAAUUUCCUAAUGGAGUACAUAAGAAUGUUUUCUGUAUUCUAGAU